AUGAAGGUGCUGGGGCAGGAGCUGAGUUUUGUAAACUGUGGGGCCACAGGGAGUCAAGUGAAGCACCAGUCCCUGAGCCUGGCAGAGCUCGCCAUCAAGCUCCUGAAGGGGCAAGAGGUCCAGAUUAACCGGAGGCUGAGCCUGGCCGCAGAGGAGCUGGUCUUUCCCACAGUGUCUGGCCUCCCUGCUCUGCUGACCCUAAACGCCUCGGCCGCUAUCAGCAUCCGGGUCCGAGGAGUCGCCGACUUCCAGCAGCGCUCGGAUUUCUCUGUGAAUGGUUAUGUCAAGCCCAGCUCUCAGCUGUACGUCGUUACCAGGGAUGGCGUGAGGAGCCUUAGACACAUCUCUGUCCCUUCUGAGGCCCAGUCCUGUACUGGUGAGGAAGGAAAGAUGGAGGCUCUCGGGAGUGCCCGCAUGGGUCACUUGGAGCUGGUUCUGGAUGACAGGGAUGUCUACUACAUCAAGGUUUGUUCCACGCCCUUGGCCCAUCUGUGUCUGCACCUGCCACCUCCCAGGGCAUUUCCUGCACCAUCCCAGGGACCCAUUACCUAUUGCCACUGCCCCUGGGAUCUUCCCCUUCUCCCUGCCACUUAACAAGUGUUAAUUCCUGUUAUCCAGAAAUAGAUAAAGAAGAAAAAUAUGGGCUAAAAUCCCACUGUCAUUAAUGUUAAAAAUGAAUGUUAAUAAUACAGAAACAUGCUUUUAAGAAUU
rnacentral:lncRNA from 13 species